UACAGAGGUCUCAAGCGUUGUUCGGAUUCAUUGGGCGUAAAGCGCGCGUAGGCGGCCUUGUAAGUCCGUUGUGAAAGUCAAAGGCUCAACCUUUGAAAGCCGAUGGAUACUGCAAGGCUGGAGUCCGGAAGAGGCGAGUGGAAUUCCUGGUGUAGCGGUGGAAUGCGCAGAUAUCAGGAGGAACACCAAUAGCGAAGGCAGCUCGCUGGGACGGUACUGACGCUAAGGCGCGAAAGCGUGGGGAGCGAACAGG
rnacentral:rRNA from 1 species